rnacentral:lncRNA from 1 species
CCCGCCAUGAUCGUGAGGCCUCCCCAGCGAUGUGGAACUGCUGGAGUGCAAUACCGUGAUCUCAGCUCAUUGCAACCACCGCCUCCCGGGUUCAAGUGAUUCCCGUGCCUCAGCCUCUUGAGUAGCUGGGACUACAGGCACGUGUCACCACGCCCGGCUGAUUUUUGUAUUUUUAGUAGAGACGGUGUUUCACCGUGUUAGCCAAGAUGGUCUCUAUCUCCUGACUUCGUGAGCCGCCUGCCUCGGCCUCCCAAAGUGCUGGGAUUACAGGUGUGAGCCACAGCGCAAGGACCAUAAUUUAUUACUUUUCAUGAUUCCUUGGAUCAGGAAUUUGGGCAAGACACAGCUGGAUAGUUCUUUGGCUUCACAGAUGGCGGCUGGAGUCAUUGUGUAGAUGCAUGUAUCUGAGAGCUUGGCUAGGGUUGAGACAUCCGUGAUGGCCUUUAGAUCUCAGAAAACUCUGCCCACGUGAACUCUAAGCAUUUACUAGUUUUUGCUGAACUUCCUUCCAGUAUGUUCACUGAGUCCCAAGAAGAAGCAAAAGAGAGCUGCUAAGUUUCUUAAGCCUGUGUUCGGAAGUCCCAGAACAUCAAUUUUAUCACGUUCUAUUGGUCAAAACACAUCACAAGUCCAGAGCAUAUUCAAGAGGAGGAAAAUACAGUUCAUCUCUGUUAUGAGCAGCUUGCAUGAACAAGAAUGGCAGUAAUAAUUGGUGACCAUAUUUGGGGACUCUUUACCAAAUCAGUUAAAAGAACACUAUGGCACCGGCCAUUUGAGCCCCUCUGCUCCCAAACCACCCCCUGAAAGCUGGAUAGAAAAUGGAAAACCUAUCAGGAGAACACUAUGAGUUUGGUAAUAACAAAGCUACAAGAUAUUACAGAGAGAGAAAGGAGGUCACUACCACCAACAGUGUGGUCCAGGAUGUUUGCUGGUGACAUCAUUGUGGAACAAGAGACAGCAGUGGAUGAUGAAAACAGCUAGACGAAAAUAUUCCAGAGUUGCAGAGAUUGGUUUGAUUUAUAUAUGAGAGCAUUCUCCUCUCUUUCUCUUACUCACAUUUUGGACCUCAGCACAGACUCUUGAAGAGACUUAAGGGUUUCCUUCCUCUAUUUGAAAGAUGAUCAGGGACACCUAGUGAUAUAAGCUGUUAAGGUGACCUUCCUAAGUUGCACCAGCUGCUAAUGUCCAAGGGACAUUUACAUUGCAUAAAAAUUUACUAUUUGCAUAUUCUUACUUCUUAAUUUAAAAGAAAAUUUAUUUAUGUAUUUUUAUAUGUAUACCUAUACAUAUGAAAAUUCUGAAAGAAUAUAUAAAAAAUUUUAAUGGUUA